AACGAACGCUGGCGGCAUGCCUAACACAUGCAAGUCGAACGAGACCUUCGGGUCUAGUGGCGCACGGGUGCGUAACGCGUGGGAACCUGCCCUUAGGUUCGGAAUAACUCCCCGAAAGGGGUGCUAAUACCGGAUAAUGUCUUCGGACCAAGGCUUUAUCGCCUUUGGAUGGGCCCGCGUUGGAUUAGCUAGUUGGUAGGGUAAAAGCCUACCAAGGCGACGAUCCAUAGCUGGUCUGAGAGGAUGAUCAGCCACACUGGGACUGAGACACGGCCCAGACUCCUACGGGAGGCAGCAGUGGGGAAUAUUGGACAAUGGGCGAAAGCCUGAUCCAGCAAUGCCGCGUGAGUGAUGAAGGCCUUAGGGUUGUAAAGCUCUUUUACCCGGGAUGAUAAUGACAGUACCGGGAGAAUAAGCUCCGGCUAACUCCGUG
rnacentral:rRNA from 1 species